rnacentral:lncRNA from 1 species
GCUGCAUAAUGGUCAACCUGUGAAGAACAAUUGAUGUCUUUCACAGUUAUAAACAUAAAUAAAAGUUACUAAAUGUGUGGUCGAAAUGGAGGCUUGCAUCAGGAGUCUUGUGUGACAAGAAAGUACCACAGAAACUCAAGGGUAAGUUUUAUAGAGCUGUGGUUAGACCUGCCAUGUUGUAUGGGGCGGAGUGCUGGCCGGUGAAGAAAUCUCAUGUUCAGAGAAUGAAGGUUUGUGUGACAAGAAAGUGCCAUAGAAACUCAAGGGGAAGUUCUAUGGAGAUACUGUGGUUAGACCUGCCAUGUACGGGGCGGAGUGCUGGCCGGUGAAGAAAUCUCAUGUUCAGAGAAUGAAGGUUGCGGAGAUGAGAAUGCUCUCGCCAGGUUAGAUAAGAUUAAGAAUGAAGUUAUUAGGGAAAAGGUG